rnacentral:rRNA from 1 species
UACGUAGGGUGCAAGCGUUAAUCGGAAUUACUGGGCGUAAAGCGUGCGCAGGCGGUUUUGUAAGUCUGUCGUGAAAUCCCCGGGCUCAACCUGGGAAUUGCGAUGGAGACUGCAAGGCUUGAAUCUGGCAGAGGGGGGUAGAAUUCCACGUGUAGCAGUGAAAUGCGUAGAUAUGUGGAGGAACACCGAUGGCGAAGGCAGCCCCCUGGGUCAAAGCUGACGCUCAUGCACGAAAGCGUGGGG